rnacentral:rRNA from 1 species
AGCAGCCGCGGUAAUUCCAGCUCCAAUAGCGUAUAUUAAAGUUGUUGCAGUUAAAAAGCUCGUAGUUGAAUUUCGGGGUUAGUAGGUUGGUCAUGCCUCUGGUAUGUACUGGUCUCACUGAUUCCUCCUUCUUUAUGAACCGUAAUGCCAUUAAUUUGGUGUUGCGGGGAAUUUGGACUGUUACUUUGAAAAAAUUAGAGUGUUUAAAGCAAGCUAACGCUUGAAUACAUUAGCAUGGAAUAAUGAAAUAGGACGUUCGAUCUUAUUUUGUUGGUUUCUAGGAUUUGACGUAAUGAUUAAUAGGGAUAGUUGGGGGCAUUAGUAUUCAAUUGUCAGAGGUGAAAUUCUUGGAUUUAUUGAAGACUAACUACUGCGAAAGCAUUUGCCAAGGAUGUUUUCAUUAAUCAAGAACGAAAGUUAGGGAUCGAAGACGAUCAGAUACCGUCGUAGUCUUAACCAUAAACUAUGCCGACUAGGGAUCGGAUGAUGUUAAUUUUUAUGACUCAUUCGGCGCCUUACG